rnacentral:rRNA from 1 species
CCCAGACUCCUACGGGAGGCAGCAGUGGGGGAUAUUGCACAAUGGGGGGAACCCUGAUGCAGCGACGCCGCGUGGGUGAAGGAGCGUUUCGGCGCGUAAAGCCCUCUCGGCAGGGAAGAAGGAGGACGGUACCUGACUAAGAAGCCCCGGCUAACUACGUGCCAGCAGCCGCGGUAAUACGUAGGGGGCAAGCGUUAUCCGGAUUUACUGGGUGUAAAGGGGGCGCAGACGGCAGCGCAAGCCAGGAGUGAAAGCCCGGGGCCCAACCCCGGGACUGCUCUUGGAACUGCGCGGCUGGAGUGCAGGAGGGGCAGGCGGAAUUCCUGGUGUAGCGGUGAAAUGCGUAGAUAUCAGGAGGAACACCGGUGGCGAAGGCGGCCUGCUGGACUGCAACUGACGUUGAGGCCCGAAAGCGUGGGGAGCAAACAGGAUUAGAUACCCCGGUAU